GGGUGUAAGUGCAAUCUGGCUUUGGCAUUUCACCCCUCUCCUUAAGGUUUAUCUGGCUGGCUAGGCAAGAAUAUCCUUCCUCACCAUUCUGUGUGCAUGCCUUCCUAAACUAAAUAUCCAGUUGAAUAAGACAGCCUUCUCUGAUUAAUGAGGGCCAUUCUUCAGCCAAGGACAUACAAAUAGCCAUGCUCCCCUGCUGAAACUGCCAAACAAGCUCUUUAUCCUCUUAAGGCUCUGCUCCUUGAGGCUGGCUCUGCCCAGGACUCAGUCACUAGCAGCUAAUCCUUUUCAGU
rnacentral:snRNA from 1 species